CAUUUUGGACGUUACUUUAGUUAAGAGCUUGGGAAAAUCCUGUAUCUUCGCUUUAGGUCCCAUUGCUGAGAAGAGCUAUUUGGAAGUAUUUUUCCACCUCGAGUUUGGGAAACCACAUUUCCAUUAAUGAGACCUAAGAAUUCUGGCUUCUUUUGCGAGGGUACAACUCUGAUGACUCCCACAGAAUUGAGGAUCACUACAAAGGUUCUGAAGGACUUGUACGUGGUUACCGUGAACCGCUCAGCUGACUCUGCUGUAUUCCAUUCUGUUGGCACUGAGCAGAAACCCUAGAUUACUAGCAGCCAUUGUCUUGUCCUCUCUGGGACAACAAGAAAAGAAUGUUUCCGGUAUGAAACAGAACAACUUGAAAUCUAGAAUACCUGUCCCAAAUGUUAAUUUCAAAGAACUCUCAACAAGACUAAAUGAUGGUAUAAAUCUGUGUGCCAAAAAAGAUAUAUUUCAAGGGUCACAAGUUACCAAAGCAGGGUUACAUACACAGCUGAAGGGAAUUGGGCUUCAGUUUUAAUUGGCAAUUUUGAGCCUCUCAUCCUAAAGUCUAUCAUGAUGAUAAAACAGAAAUGAUAUAUUUCUUAGUCUGUGUGAGCUCCCAUAACAAAAUACUAUAGAUUGGGUGGCUUACACAACAUAAAUUCAUUUCUCAGUAUCCUGGACUGAGAAGUCAAGAAUCAAGAUGCCAACAGAUUCUGUUUCCAAUGAGGGCUCUCUCUGGCUUGUAGGCUGCUGCCUUCUCAUUGUCUCCUCACAUGGUUUGGGGGGUUGGGGAAGGGCAAGGUGCAGGAGUGGGAAAGAGAGAAAGUUCUCUCUGGCAUCUCCCUAUGAGGACACAAAUCCUGUUGGAUUAGGGUUCUACCCUUAUGACCUCAUUUAACUUUAAUUACUUCCUUAUUCCAAAUGCAGCCAUACUGAGGUUAGACCUUCAAUACCUGAAUUCUGGGGAGACACAAUUCAGUCUACAGCAAUAUGGGAAGGCUAUACAUUUUGAGACAUGCUGCCUAACACAACGGCUAGUUUACCAACACUGAGCCUUUAGGCGGCAAACUGUCUUUUUACUCAGCUAUUAUAUGCUAAAUGUUUUAUAGUAAUAAAAUGUUGAAUGAAAAUCAACUUGGAAGUUUAAGAGCUUUUUGGCUUGUGAAAAGUUUAACUGGACUUCUACAUUUUCUCUUAAAUAAGAACUACAAACAUUCAGUUUGCAUAAUAUACCUGCUGUGAUUGCUAAAAUGGACACACUGCUUUAUGACUUAUAAAGUCUUUCUAUAUUAUUACUAUCUUUAAACCUCAACUCAGAAAGAUAAGAAAGAAAAAUAAAUUAUUACCAUCAUCAACCAUCUGUUAAACAUAAAGAAAAUAGGGUCCAAGAGGUUUGAAAUGGAGCAAAUGAUACAAUAGUGAAGAAAUGAUCAAUGCAUUUAUUCAAUGUGAGUAACUUAUUCACAUUUCUUGAAAGUAGCUUAGUAGUUCUUAUUAAAACCAACUAUUUCAUUUCUGGAAAUUUAUCCUGGAAAAACAGUAAGAAAGUAUGAAAAACUUGGAAAAUUGGAAACAAUGUUUAUGUCCAGUUAUAAGGACUUAGUUAAAUAUAUUAACAUGUAAUCAUUAAAAAGAGUUAUAUAUAUACUGAUAAGGGAAAGGAACUCAUGACACGUAAAAAGGAAAAAAGCCAGUUAACAGCAAAUAUAGUAAUGUUUACUUUUUUUUUGUUCUGUAUAUGUUUGUCUCUCCAUCUUUCUGGAAAAUGUAGAAAAGUAUUUGAUAUUGCAAUGUUAACAACUUACAUCUGAGUGGUAGCUUUCUGGAUGAUUCUUUAUUUACCUCUUUAUCUUUCUUUGGCAUGUUCAUGUUAACAGAAAAAUAAAGCUACUUUACUUUUUAAAUUAAAACAUUUCUGCAGAAAUUUUAAGCAAAAUAUCAUAAGUGUUAUCCAUUAUCCCACCAUGCAGAGAUGUCCUAAGAACAGGAUAUUUCUUUCUGGGAAUUACUUUUCAAAUUUCUCAUGAUACUAUAUAAAAUUUUUCUCCAAGUCAUUUACUCUUCAAAAACAUUACUGCUGUAUAUUUUCCCAUCACAUUUGACUAACCCUUCUGCACAUUUCUACUCAAAUGUGAGGGGAACUCUCCUACAUGCUGGUGGGAAUGUGGUUUUUUGCAGCCAUUAUGAAGAACAGUAUGGAGAUUCCUCAAAAAACUUUAAAUAGACUUACCAUAUGUUCCAGCAAUCCCACUCCUGGGCGUGUAUCCAGAGGGAACUCUAAUUCAAAAAGAUGCAUACACCCCAAUGUUCAUAGCAGCACUAUAUACAAUAGCCAAGACAUGGAAACAACCUAAAUGUCCAUCAACAGAUGAUUGGAUAAAAAAGUUGUAUAUUUAUACAAUGGAAUACUACUCAGCCAUAAAAAAGAAUAAAAUAAUGCCAUUUGCAGCAACAUGGAUGGACCUGGAGAUCAUCAUGCUAAGUGAAGUAAGCCAGAAAGAGAAAGAAAAGUACCAUAAGAUAUCACUCAUGUGUGGAAUUCUUUUUUUUUAAAGGGAAAAGAAACAAGAAGACACUAAUGAAUUCAUCUACAAAACAGAAGCAGACUUGCAGACAUAGUAAACAAUCUUAUGGUUACCAGGGGAAAUGGGGUGGGAAGGGAUAAAUUUGAGAGUUUGAGAUUUUCAAAUGUUAACCACUGUACAUAAAGAUAGAUUAAAAAACUUUCUUCUGUAUGUAGCACAGGAAACUAUAUCCAAUGUCUUGUAAUAGCAUUCAAUGAAAAAAUAAGAAAACGAACAUGUGUGUAUAUAUGCAUGACUGGAACAUUAUGCUGUACACCAGAAAUUGACACAUUGUAACUGACUAUACUUUAAAAAAAGGGAAUCUGGGCAUAUGCUAAUAAGGACAUGUGCUCUCCAUCCCACCUUCUCCCCCACCACUACUAAACACUGUUCCACUCAGCAGCUGAAUCUCCUGUUGGUGUGAAGCAUAACAUUGUUCCCUGCUAUUACACAAUAAAUUUUGCUUUGAUAUAGUAAAAAAAAAAAGUGAA